CGGCAACAGCUCAAAUUUGAAAUCUGGCUCUUUCAGAGUCCGAGUUGUAAUUUGUAGAGGAUGCUUUUGGUGCGGUGCCUUCCGAGUUCCCUGGAACGGGACGCCUUAGAGGGUGAGAGCCCCGUACGGUUGGACGCCUAGCCUCUGUAAAGCUCCUUCGAC
rnacentral:rRNA from 1 species